rnacentral:rRNA from 1 species
GAUGAACGCUAGCUACAGGCUUAACACAUGCAAGUCGAGGGGAAACGGCAUUUAGUGCUUGCACUGAAUGGACGUCGACCGGCGCACGGGUGAGUAACGCGUAUCCAACCUUCCCAUUACUGUGGGAUAACCUGCCGAAAGGCAGACUAAUACCGCAUAGUCUUCGAUGACGGCAUCAGAUUUGAAGUAAAGAUUUAUCGGUAAUGGAUGGGGAUGCGUCUGAUUAGCUUGUUGGCGGGGUAACGGCCCACCAAGGCAACGAUCAGUAGGGGUCCUGAGAGGAAGGUCCCCCACAUUGGAACUGAGACACGGUCCAAACUCCUACGGGAGGCAGCAGUGAGGAAUAUUGGUCAAUGGACGAGAGUCUGAACCAGCCAAGUAGCGUGCAGGAUGACGGCCCUAUGGGUUGUAAACUGCUUUUGUAUGGGGAUAAAGUCAAUCACGUGUGAUUGUUUGCAGGUACCAUACGAAUAAGGACCGGCUAAUUCCGUGCCAGCAGCCGCGGUAAUACGGAAGGUCCGGGCGUUAUCCGGAUUUAUUGGGUUUAAAGGGAGCGUAGGCCGGAGAUUAAGUGUGUUGUGAAAUGUAGACGCUCAACGUCUGACUUGCAGCGCAUACUGGUUUCCUUGAGUACGCACAACGUUGGCGGAAUUCGUCGUGUAGCGGUGAAAUGCUUAGAUAUGACGAAGAACUCCGAUUGCGAAGGCAGCUGACGGGAGCGCAACUGACGCUUAAGCUCGAAGGUGCGGGUAUCGAACAGG